UCCGGAUCCGACCAAUAAAUUUGGGCAUUCCGAAGAUCCACGUCGACGCCGCUCGCGUUCUUCAUAAACGGAAUGGGCACCGCUACGUCCACCGAAUAAUCGACGUCCAGGGACAAAACUCUGAUGUCUAUGCGAUUCAGAGAUUCGAGAUCGCUUCGAUGAAAUUCUCCCGGCAGCCCGAGAUCCGGGGGGAGAGCUGAACGAACCUGCAAACGGAUCCCGGUCGGACAGGCGCAUUUCAUGUGACGAGUUCUCCGGGCUACCAGACACAGGCCAAACGGAUGCGGCAAGUUUCCUUCAGAGGGCAAAAUACAUCAUGGGCUAUCAUCACUUCGAAAAGGUGUUUCCGGGGAAGGACAAGAAAAUGAGACUUUCGUGCCAUCUCACCCAUCAAGACUGUCCGGUUCUUGCCAUCGAGAUCCGAAUACUCGAUACUCUUCGUGCCACCGUCCGCCCAGUACAACCGCUUCUUAUCGAAAUCUAUCGCCAGCCCAUUCGGCCACGUCAAAUUCGCACCUAUGAGCACUCUUCGUUGACUACCGUCCAUCGAGGCUCUCUCAAUCUUCGGCGUUUUGCCCCAAUCGCUCCAAUACAUGCGGAAAACAUUUUUCACGGAGAAAAAAUUGGGCUCGUUUCUCAGCUGGUUGGAGUAUCGAAAAGAUAGAUUGCGAGGGGACCAACUCGAGUUCCUCUUUGGCGAACCCUUGCAGCAAUUCAUAGAGUUUUGCUUUAACGAAAAUUUGGAAAUGGUACCAGGCUGCGCUCCGUUAGAAACGAACUCACGAAAUAGUUGUCGCGAUUCAACAUUUGCAGAUUCCUCCAAUAAGCUAAAUUUACAACAACGUUUUGGGUUCGAGCUUAAAAAAUCAGUCAUCAAACAGCUUCAGUAAAAAGCCAAGAGUCGCUUCGCAACUUCGAAAGGAAAAAGCAGGGAAGUCAGCGAACGAGCUUACAUAUUGGAUCCACGACGAUGUCCCUCGGUUUGUCGAGUCCCUCGUACACCAAAAGUGUCCUCAUGGAGCCGUCGAGAUUGGAGCACUCGAUUCUGUUAGUUCCAGCGUCGGUCCAAUACAACUUUUUGCUGAUCCAGU